rnacentral:rRNA from 1 species
AUGGGGUGCUUUCUUUGCACGAAAUCCUUAACUAUACCCAUGUUAAAAAAAAGAGUGGGCAUAGUACUAAAACUUGACUUUGAAAAAGCACAUGACAAAGUCAAUUGGGAAUUUCUUCCAGAGUGCCAUAGGAUGCAUGGGUUCAAUGAAACAUGGUGUGGAUGGGUCAAGCAAAUUCUGUAUAAUGGUACACUUAGCAUCAAAUUAAACAAUUGUGUAGGCCCCUACUUCCAGAGUGCUAAGGGGAUGCGGCAGGGUGAUCCACACUCCCCAUUCAUGUUUAAUCUUGCUGCUGAGUGCCUGACCAAAAUGAUUAAAAACGCCAAGAGAAACAAAUUGAUUACUGGCCUAGCCCCUGAUCUUAUUCCUGAUGGGGUUGCCGUAUUACAAUACGCGGAUGAUACCAUAAUUUGCUUCCAG